rnacentral:rRNA from 1 species
GACGAACGCUGGCGGCGUGCUUAACACAUGCAAGUCGAACGGAAAGGCCCUGCUUUUGUGGGGUGCUCGAGUGGCGAACGGGUGAGUAACACGUGAGUAACCUGCCCUUGACUUUGGGAUAACUUCAGGAAACUGGGGCUAAUACCGGAUAGGAGCUCCUGCUGCAUGGCGGGGGUUGGAAAGUUUCGGCGGUUGGGGAUGGACUCGCGGCUUAUCAGCUUGUUGGUGGGGUAGUGGCUUACCAAGGCUUUGACGGGUAGCCGGCCUGAGAGGGUGACCGGCCACAUUGGGACUGGGAUGCGGCCCAGACUCCUACGGGAGGCAGCAGUGGGGGAUAUUGCACAAUGGGCGGAAGCCUGAUGCAGCAACGCCGCGUGCGGGAUGACGGCCUUCGGGUUGUAAACCGCUUUCGCCUGUGACGAAGCGUGAGUGACGGUAAUGGGUAAAGAAGCACCGGCUAACUACGUG